rnacentral:misc_RNA from 1 species
UCGUACAAAAUGUGAGGGGCAUGCGAGGGCUGUCGCUGACCCAAAAGUCGUGCACGCCCGAGUGUGUCCUCUUGCAUAAUAAUCCAUCUCACCCUUUGUGCAUCACCGCGUGGGCACCCUUCGGGAUCAUCUCGGAGGGGGGCUCGCGUUUUCACACAAACCCCCCUUUUAAAAGUGUAGAAUGACCACAUUUAUGCAAUCAAUA